AUCGAGCUGAUCAGUCUCAAAUAAGACGAAACGCACUUCCUGGAU
rnacentral:hammerhead_ribozyme from 1 species